rnacentral:rRNA from 1 species
AUUGAACGCUGGCGGCAUGCCUUACACAUGCAAGUCGAACGGUAACGGGCCUUCGGGUGCCGACGAGUGGUGCACGGGUGCGUAAUACAAAGGAACGUGCCCGAUCGUGAGGGAUAUCGAGGCGCAACCUUUGAUCAUACCGCAUACGAUCUAAGGUUGUAAGCAGGGGACCGCAAAGCCUUGCGCCGACCGAGCGGCCGAUGGUAGAUUAGGUAGUUGGUGAGAUAAAAGCUUACCAAGUCGACGAUUUGUAGCUGGUCUGAGAGGAUGAUCAGCCACACUGGGACUGAGACACGGCCCAGACUCCUACGGGAGGCAGCAGUGGGGAAUUUUGGACAAUGGGCGCAAGCCUGAUCCAGCCAUGCCGCGUGCAGGAUGAAGGCCUUCGGGUUGUAAACUGCUUUUAUACGGAACGAAAAGCCGUCUUUUAAUACAGGAGGGUCAUGACGGUACCGAAAGAAUAAGCACCGGCUAACUACGUG